GCCUAAAGCGUCCGUAGCCGGCUUUGUAAGUUUUCGGUUAAAUCUAUAUGCUCAACAUAUAGGCUGCCGGAAAUACUGCAAAGCUAGGGAGUGGGAGAGGUAGACGGUACUCCGUAGGAAGGGGUAAAAUCCUUUGAUCUAUGGAUGACCACCUGUGGCGAAGGCGGUCUACCAGAACACGUUCGACGGUGAGGGAUGAAAGCUGGGGGAGCAAACCGGAUUAGAUACCCGGGUAGUCCCAGCUGUAAACUAUGCAAACUCAGUGAUGCACUGGCUUGUGGCCAGUGCAGUGUUGCAGGGAAGCCGUUAAGUUUGCCGCCUGGGAAGUACGUACGCAAGUAUGAAACUUAAAGGAAUUGGCGGGGGAGCACCACAAGGGGUGAAGCCUGCGGUUCAAUUGGAGUCAACGCCAGAAAUCUUACCCGGAGAGACAGCAGAAUGAAGGUCAAGCUGAAGACUUUACCAGACAAGCUGAGAGGUGGUGCAUGGCCGCCGCCAGCUCGUGCCGUGAGAUGUCCUGUUAAGUCAGGUAACGAGCGAGAUCCCUGCCUCUAGUUGCCACCAUUACUCUCAGGAGUAGUGGGGCGAAUUAGCGGGACCGCCGCAGUUAAUGCGGAGGAAGGAAGGGGCCACGACAGGUCAGUAUGCCCCGAA
rnacentral:rRNA from 1 species